GGGGCCCGCACAAGCGGUGGAGCAUGUGGUUUAAUUCGAAGCAACGCGAAGAACUUACCAAGGCUUGACAUACACCGGUAACGCCCAGAGAUGGGUGCCCCUUUGUGGUCGGUGGACAGGUGGUGCAUGGUUGUCGUCAGCUCGUGUCGUGAGAUGUUGGGUUAAGUCCCGCAACGAGCGCAACCCUCGUCCUAUGUUGCCAGCGGGUCAUGCCGGGGACUCAUGGGAGACUGCCGGGGUCAACUCGGAGGAAGGUGGGAUGACGUCAAAUCAUCAUGCCCCUUAUGUCUUGGGCUUCACGCAUGCUACAAUGGCCGGUACAAAGGGCUGCGAUACCGCGAGGUGGAGCGAAUCCCAGAAAGCCGGUCUCAGUUCGGAUUGGGGUCUGCAACUCGACCCCAUGAAGUCGGAGUCGCUAGUAAUCGCAGAUCAGCAACGCUGCGGUGAAUACGUUCCCGGGCCUU
rnacentral:rRNA from 1 species